rnacentral:rRNA from 1 species
AUUGAACGCUGGCGGCAGGCCUAACACAUGCAAGUCGAGCGGAUGAAGGGAGCUUGCUCCUGGAUUCAGCGGCGGACGGGUGAGUAAUGCCUAGGAAUCUGCCUGGUAGUGGGGGAUAACGUCCGGAAACGGGCGCUAAUACCGCAUACGUCCUGAGGGAGAAAGUGGGGGAUCUUCGGACCUCACGCUAUCAGAUGAGCCUAGGUCGGAUUAGCUAGUUGGUGGGGUAAAGGCCUACCAAGGCGACGAUCCGUAACUGGUCUGAGAGGAUGAUCAGUCACACUGGAACUGAGACACGGUCCAGACUCCUACGGGAGGCAGCAGUGGGGAAUAGUGGACAGUGGGCGAGAGCCUGGUCCAGCCAUGCCGCGUGUGUGAAGAAGGUCUUCGGAUUGUAAAGCACUUUAAGUUGGGAGGAAGGGCAGUAAGUUAAUACCUUGCUGUUUUGACGUUACCAACAGAAUAAGCACCGGCUAACUUCGCG